UUAGAUAAAAGUUAGAACGAACUCGUAAUUGGUUGGCAACAUUAGACUUAAAAUGCAGAAUUAGUAAUAGUAAUUGAUUCAUGUUCCCAGG